rnacentral:rRNA from 1 species
AGGGCAUUCUAUGCUCUGUAAUUGGAAUGAUGGGAAUGUAAAACCCUUCCAGAGUAACAAUUGGAGGGCAAGUCUGGUGCCAGCAGCCGCGGUAAUUCCAGCUCCAAUAGUGUAUAUUAGAGUUGUUGCAGUUAAAAAGCUCGUAGUUGGAUUUCUGCUGUGGUCAUCCGGUACCGCCCGUAUGGGUGCGCACCUGGUUUGGCUGCGGCUUUCUUCCUGUAGCCGUCCGCGCUUAAUUGCGUGUGCUGUGUUACGGAACUUUUACUUUGAGAAAAAUAGAGUGUUUCAAGCAGGCUUGUCGCCCUGAAUACUUCAGCAUGGAAUAAUAGGAUAGGACCUUGGUUCUAUUUUGUUGGUUUCUAGGACCAAGGUAAUGAUUAAUAGGGACAGUGGG